GCGUGGGAACCUGUCCUAUGGUACGGAAUAACAUCGGGAAACUGGUGCUAAUACCGUAUAAGCCCCGAGGGGGAAAGAUUUAUCGCCAUAGGAGGGGCCCGCGUAGGAUUAGCUAGUUGGUGAGGUAACGGCUCACCAAGGCGACGAUCCUUAGCUGGUCUGAGAGGAUGAUCAGCCACACUGGGACUGAGACACGGCCCAGACUCCUACGGGAGGCAGCAGUGGGGAAUAUUGGACAAUGGGGGAAACCCUGAUCCAGCCAUGCCGCGUGAGUGAUGAAGGCCUUCGGGUUGUAAAGCU
rnacentral:rRNA from 1 species